AUUAGUUAUGAGAGAUAACAUUGAAUUAUUAAUAUAAAUAAUGUGUUAAUACUGCCCCACCUGUAUGGCGAAGGGGUCUUGGAAAAUAGCCUCCAUACUUAGUAGAAAAUGACUUUCGGGACCAAAUUUUUAUAAAAGAGGGAACUCUCAUGAGUACCAGUCUCAAGAAAACUCAUUUUUUCUCUUUCCAGUUGGUUCUGACAAGAUGCUCCCUUCAGUCUUUCUCUAUGUAUCCAAUUCUGAGUAUUCAAAUGCCAACAUUCCUGGAGACAGAUCUGUCUUAGAGAAACAAGCCAAACACAAGAACACAUAGUGCAGUAUUUGAGCAUCACAGACCUUAUCUGACAGCUUUAUUUUAGGAAUAUAAAGAGAGGGUGGAAACAAUUAGUCAUGGAGCAAAGAACUUCAUAAGAAAAUCUGGUGGGAAAUAGAGGAUACAGCAAAAAAUCUUUAUUAAUUUAAAGAGUUGAGAAAAAACCAACCUAUUGCAACAUGACAGAAGAAAGAUAUAGAUGAGAUCCCCCUGGGACUUUAAAUUCUUAUCAUAAUUCUGCCUCUGCAGUGGAUUGCCUGAAGCAGAAAUAAAAAUUUUCUAAAGUCCCAUAAUAUGGGAACUAUAACAUAGUCCCAAUUAAACAGUGAGGACCAAAUGUGUUCUGAAGUCCUAUAAUGUACCAGUUUACGUAUCUCUCUGAAUUAAGACUCAGAAAAUAGUCAAAUGGACACAGUUCAUGCAAAAAUGAGCACUCUCGGAGUUCCCAUUGCAGCUCAGUAGGUUAAGAACACGAUAUUGUGUCUGUGAGGAUUCGGGUUCAAUCCCUGGCCUUGCUCAGUGGGUUAAAGAUCUGGCAUUGACACAAGCUGCAGCUUAGGUCAUAGAUGUGUCUUGGAUCACAAACAGCUGUGGCUGCACCAGCAGUUCUGAUUCAACUCCUAGCUCCAGAACUUCCAUGUGCCAUAGGUGCAGCGAAUAACCUAAAUUUUUCUUUUCUAUUUCUUUUUUUUUUUUUUUUUUUUUUUGGGACGUGGCUUGAUGUGGGAUCACAGCUCCCAGACCAGAGAUGGAACCCAGGCUGCACAGUGAAAGUGCCAAGGCCUAACUGCUAGACCACCAGGAAACUCCCCAAAUAAAUUCUUUAUUCACACUUUUUAAAAUACUUUGAAGAGGACAGUCUCUAGUAAUACUUUAAGGGGAAAAAAAUCAUUUUCUGCAUUCAUCCAUUGACUUAAGUGAAGUCCACAAAAGCACUUUCUUCAAAAGUACAAGGGUAUAUUCCUCUCUGAACCUCCUGUCUUUCCAACAUUCGCUCCUACCUACUCUCUUCACUGUUUCAACACAUUAAUAUGACAACUUAUUGAUUGCCUUUUGCUAAUCCUUUCCUGCCUCCUUUCUGUCAGACCCUCCUCAGAUGGCUGAACUGAAGGGACCAGGACCCUUAUUCAACUCUCAGUAGGUGUGAAAUACUGAACAUGCCUUAAAAGAAUGUUCUUAUCCAUCACACAAUGGCGUAUUCAUCCUCUUGAGUAGAAAUUGUAGGAAGAACACGUGGUGCAUGCCACAGGGUCUUCCGGAUAGAAGUCCUAAAUGGUGAUGAAUUACUUUGGAGAGUGGUACCUCAAAGCAGACUAUACAUUUGAUGAAAAUGAAUGCACUAGUACUGUACGCAUUGGUGUGUGUGAUUCUUAUGCAUAUGCAUUCUGUCCCCCUCUGUAGACUUAACACCUUGAUCUCUUCUACGCAUAUCGUCCACCAAGCUCUUCCUGGGUACUCCCUCCAUGACUCUCCAAAGGCAGUAAAUUAGGAAAAUCAAGGAUUUACCACACUUGUUUUCUCUCUCAGAUAUCACUGUCCUGCAUUGCCUAAUGACUAAUGUCUUAACAAACUCAUAUUUUCUACAUGCACCCCAACAUUCAUUGCAUACACUUUACAAUAGCCAAGACAUGGAAGAAACCUAAAUGUCCAUUGACAGAGGAAUGGAUAAAGAAGACGUGGUACAUAUACACAAUGGAAUACUACUCAACCAUAAAAAAGAAUAAAGUGAUGCCAUUUGCAAAAACAUGGAUGGACUUAGAGAUUAUCAUACUAAGUGAAGUAAGUCAGAGAAAGAUAAACAUCACAUGAUGUCACUUAUAUGUGGUAUAUAAAAGUAUAUAUACAAAUUAAGUUAUCUACAAAACAGAAACAGACUCACGGACUUUGAAAACAAACUCAUGGUUACCAAAGAGGAAACAUGGGGAGGGGAAUAAAUUAGGAAUUUGGGAUUAAAACAAACACACCACUAUAUAUUAAAUAGAUAAGUAACAAGGACCAUCGCAUAGCACAGGGGACUCAACUCAAUAUUCCAUAAUAAUUUACAUAGAAGACUCUGAAAAGGAAUGAAUAUAUGUAUAACUGAAUCAAUUUUCUAUGCACUCGAAACUAAUACAACAUUGUAAAGCAACUAUAUGCCAAUAAAAAAAUCUCAUCAUUUCAUAUAUUUAAUUUGUGUUGUUCUUGUUAUUUCAGGUAAACAGGCAACUACAAUGAUUCCAUCUUAGCCAGGAGGAGUUAUAAAUUAAAGCAGAAACUCAGGCUGUAUUUGGUGAAUUAAAUUACUAAAGAACCACAGCUUCAGACUCAGAAUUCUCCUUCUGCUACUAAAACUAGAUCUCAAAAAAUAUCCAAUAUACUUCAUUAUGCUUUAUACUUUUAAAACACUGUAUUACCUCUCCCCUGUAUUUUCAUUUCCCUGGGUCUGCUGUAACAAAUUAUCAUAAACAUGAUGCCUUAAAAGAACAGAAAUUUAUUCUCUUGCAGUUCUGGAGACUAGAAAGUCAAAAUCGAGGUGUCAAUUUGUAAUUACCUUGAAAGCAAAAAUAGUCAUAUUUUACUCUAAACCACAGCACCUAGCUUUGUACUUUCCUCCUAAAAUAAGCGCAAGGGUGUUUAUGUAAAGUUUAAUUUAAUUGUAAUGGCCAAGAGGCUUUUCAAGAAGGUAACUUUAGGCACGAGUUUUUAGUGUGCGGAUUCCUAAAAAUAGUGCCAACUUUGCAACUCCAGUAUACCUAUAUGUGACACUUGGCUCAGAAACAAACAGUAUUUUUUUCCACUUGUGCAGAAGUUACAAAAAUGCCAAAGUGGAAAGAUUUCACAAUUUCAUAUACCACAGAGAAAGAAAAAAUGACCUGUAUAAAAUUAUCGUCUAAUGCUAAGGUAGCAUCAAUUAUAAAAUACACCCCACAUUUCAGAGAUAAUUAAAAUGUGAAAGACAUUUGUCCUAGAAGCAAAUAUAGACAGUGCAGGUGUGUGUUUUGUGAGUAAAUGUAAACAUACUUAUGUUCAACAGACUCUUCAUGAGGUUGCCAUCCUGCAAGUUACCAUUCAACCUGUCCAGAAAAUUUCUCCAGCUACAUACACUUUGAAAAUUGGCCCAUUCCCUAACUCUUCUGCCCCCAGCCAGCCAGCCGCAUUACAGUUCAUUUGCUUCAUGCAGAUUGGCCAAUCGGAUUUGAAAUUUAAAACAAGCACGAGAGGCUGAGAAUCUUUGUAUUAACGGAAAUUGUUUGACAUAUGGUGUUGGGAUGUCUUGUAACUUUCCUUUAGCCCACCCUUUCCGAAGACUUAGGGGUUUAAUCCUGCUUCAAUUUCGCAAAAUACCCCAGCAUCUUUCCAGUAAAUUCUUUUUUUUUUUUUUUUUUUUUUUGGUUUAAGUCAGCCGGAGUUUAUUUUUGUGGCCUGAAACCGAAAGAACCUUAACUAAUGCAAUGCCUUAAGAACAUUUUUGAAAAGCUCUACAAGAAAUCAACACUAAUUACUUCUGAGAAAUGAAUGGGAGUGUGGCUCCUGAAAGUGUAAAGGGACACUUCCACUGUCACCUUAUUAUACUGUAAAAGUGAAUGUUGUGUCAUUCUGAUUUGCUUUAGUUGGAUUUGGAAUGUUCAUUUUUACACCAGGGGCAUGUUACUUGCAAAUAUUUUUUCAGCUAGAAUUCUUUCUUUUCUUUUCCCCCUUUUUUUAUUGUUAUAUUUGAAAAAGAAUUAUAUAAGAGCUUUCUAAUUUUUCAUGUCUAAACCUUGUCCCUAUUCUAUUAGAAUCCUCUCACUUCGGAGAUAUAAAAACUGAACCCAGGAGUUCCUGUCAUGGCUUAGUGGAAACGAAUCUGACUGGCAUCCAUGAGGACGCAGGUUCAAUCCCUGGCCUUGCUCAAUGGGUUAAGGAUCCAGCACUCCCAUGAGAUAUAGUGUAGAUUGCAGAUGCCGCUCGGAUCUCACGUUGUUGGAAAGAAAGAAAGAAACUAACCCAGAAUACUUAUGACCUAGUCAACAAUUUCACAGCAAUCAGAACCAUAGUGUUAUUGUUUUAGACUUCCCCAGAGUUAGUUGUCCUAGUCAUAGGGUAAAUAAUUAUUUUAUUUUUAGGUGCAGUUGAUAUUAAUUGAUCAAACAUCACCCUUUUAAGUGGUUUGAAUUCCUUUCCUUCUACUUAAUAUUCCAAAUUUGGAGUUCCCCCUGUGGCACAGUGGGUUGAGAAUCUACCUGCAGUGGCUUGGUUCACUGCAGAGGUUUAGGUUCGAUCCCCCAUUCAGCACAUUGAGUUAAAGGAACGGGUUGCUGGGAUUCAAUCCUAGCCCGGGGGACUUCCAUAUGCCAUGGGUGCAGCCAUAAAAUAAAAAAAAUAAAAUACUCCAAAUGUACUCAGCUUGAGAUACUUUCUGGUUAAUAAUCUCUUUUGAAAUGAUCAUCAAGCUUAGAUGGGUUAGCUAUUGAUCAUUUCCCACUUUGAUGUGAAUUGUCUUUUAUCAGGUUAAAUGUAUCCAGGUAUUUGGAUAAAAUCAUUCCUACUGAAUUCGUCGGGAGUUCUGAUGGAACUAUGAUAGAUUUGGUAUAUUGGAAACUGCUAACUGCGUAAGGAUCCUCUUCUACUUCCCCUCUCCAUCUUUCCCCACGACUACUACUUUUAAAAAAAAUUAAUAUUGUCAGAGAAAAAUCUCACCCCCUGGAGAGGAAAUUACCGCAAGUCAAGACAAAUGGGCCAAAUUAGCCAUCUGUGGAAAUAACCCGUCCUGGGAGGUGACCUGUAAAUGCCUGUCAAUGGGAGGGAAAGGAUUCCAGUCCUGAGAGGGAUCAGGAAAACCAGACUGGCAUGUAAUAAUUAUAAAGCAGAAAACAGCAGCUGCAUUUUACCUUGUUUAGGGUGACGUCAUGGUGCUUUAGCAGUUGAUUUAAAAACAAGAAUCAGAGAGUAGGAAUGUGUCAGGGUUUGUCCACAAUCGCCUUGAAAAUUAGAGCACCUCCCAGAAUCACUGAUUCCACGGGAGUACUUUAGACGUGUGGCAGGUGUUUCCUAGAGCACUAAACUGUGGGGACACUGGAGUCCAAAGAAAGGAAGAAAGAAGAAGGAAAAUGUGGAGUGAGGGGAAAGGGGAGAAAAAGAAGGGAUCAGAGGCAAAGGAAAGUAGCAGAAGGAAGGGGGAAGCCCCCUUUUCCAAAAAUCAAUCAUCAAAUCCCGUUUGGGCCCUUCAAAGUGUUAGAAUAUUUGAGGAUUGGAGACUUGGAGUUCUGACCCUCUCCUGACCACCACUUUCCAAGGUCUAUUGUCACAGCAUUUUAGCUGAUUUUCCGAUACAACUUUACACUGUUUCAGAGUAAGAUCUGAAAUACUAAAGUUCUUCAGUCUGUCUUGUUUAAAAUUCAAUCCUGGUCCUCUGCCCCCUUUAGCAUUAUCUGGUUUAUCAAUUCCUUCUGCCUUUUCUGCCCCAGGGGCUUCACCUCCCAGGCACUCCACUCCCCAGUCCUAAGUUUUUAGUCAAUACUUGCAGUUCCCAUAAAUAUGCCUUGCUUGAUCACACCCAAGAGCCAUUUCUAUUCCCUCUGGGUAGAAUGGAAAGCCUGCCUUUCAACUCUCAACCAUCAGGCCUCUUUUUCCUGCCAGUGAGCUUUUCAACCAGCAAGGCACUGUUCAAACAACAUUUCUUUGGCAGAACCAUGACUGCCCUUCCUUAAGAGAAUAACAAUUCACCAAGACUCUAAUGGCAUUGAUCAAAUGAAAUUUAAUUGAGUCCAUCCUUGUCUAAGUAUUGACCUCCUGAAAAAACAGACACCUUCUCCUGUUCACCUGUGUAUAACAGUCUUGAAUACAUGCUCAUAUUAGACCUUCAAAAAUACUUGAACUAAUGAGUGAAGAAAUAAAAACUCUUGUCAGGAAAACUUAUCCAAGACUUGGAGCUAUUUUUUUUUUUUUUUUUUUUUUUUAAGAUUACAUCUUGGGGGGAAUUCACGUCGUGGCUCAGUGGAAAUAAAUCUGACUUGUAUCCAUGAGGACACAGGUUGGAUCCCUGGCCUUGUUCAGUGGGUUAAGGAUCCGGCAUUGCCAUGACCUGUGGUGUAGUUCACAGACAUGGCUCGGAUCCCAUGUUGCUGUGGCUGUGGUGCAGACCUGCAGCUACAGCUACAUUCGACCCCUAGCCUGGGAAAUUCCAUUGCCAUGUGCCGCAGGUGCAGCCCUUAAAAAAAAGAUUACAUCUUGGCUACUUAAAAAAUUCUGUAAGGGACAAAAAAAUAAAAAUAAAAAAUAAAAAAGGAGUUCCCGUCAUGGCGCAGUGGUUAACAAAUCCGACUAGGAACCAUGAGGUUGCAGGUUCGAUCCCUGGCCUUGCUCAGUGGGUUAACGAUCCGGCGUUGCCAUGAGCUGUGGUGUAGGUUGCAGACGCGGCUCGGAUCCCGCGUUGCUGUGGCUCUGGUGUAGGCUGGCAGCUACAGCUCCCAUUCGACCCCUAGCCUGGGAACCUCCAUAUGCCAUGGGAGCGGCCCAA
rnacentral:lncRNA from 1 species